rnacentral:tRNA from 1 species
GCCUUCGUGAUGUAGUGGUUAGCAUGCUCGACGCGUAAUCGAGAGGUCCGUGGUUCGAUUCCCGGCGAAGGCG